AUUGAACGCUGGCGGCAUGCUUUACACAUGCAAGUCGAACGGCAGCGCGGGCUUCGGCCUGUCGGCGAGUGGCGAACGGGUGAGUAAUACAUCGGAACGUGCCCAGUUGUUGGGGAUAGCUCGGCGAAAGCCGGAUUAAUACCGCAUACGACCUUAGGGUGAAAGCGGGGGAUCUUCGGACCUCGCGCUAUUGGAGCGGCCGAUGGCAGAUUAGCUAGUUGGUGGGGUAAAGGCCUACCAAGGCGACGAUCUGUAGCUGGUCUGAGAGGACGACCAGCCACACUGGGACUGAGACACGGCCCAGACUCCUACGGGAGGCAGCAGUGGGGAAUUUUGGACAAUGGGCGAAAGCCUGAUCCAGCAAUGCCGCGUGUGUGAUGAAGGCCUUCGGGUUGUAAAGCACUUUUGGCGGGAAAGAAAAGGACUGUGCCAAUACCACGGUUCGAUGACGGUACCCGCAGAAUAAGCACCGGCUAACUACGUG
rnacentral:rRNA from 1 species